CCGGCACCUCACGUUUCUGAAGUGUGUUUACUACGCCGGCUCCGGCCGGGCUCCCCGCGCGCGCUCAGCUCGCUGCCGGAGCCACCGCAUCCCCCACAGUGUCUGCCCUCGCCCAGAUGCCGGGCUGCCCCGUCCACUGCUCUCCUCAGAUGUGAUUUUCGGUAUGUGUUAUCAGCACACAGAUCAUGAAUAGAUGACCCUAUGGCUCAUUCAGCCUGGUAUGAUAUGAAUGUUGAUUGAGUGUCCCCCAACUAGAGUCUUUGAGGGGACUGAAGUCAAAUAUGUCAGAGGAUGAUCAUUUUUAAGGUAAGUUAUGGCUCUUGUGUGACUAUAUAAUAAACGCAUGUUAAAGAUUUCACCUAGUUCAUUAACAGGGACACCCUGAGAGGCCACAGGGGUGACAAGGAGAGCCUGAGGAGCAGCUUUGUACGCAGGCCAUGCUGCUCCCUGUUCUACUUGGUUUGUUGUCCAUAAAAUGCAUGUUGAGAUUCGGUCCCCAGUGUAACAGUGCCGAGAGGUCCAGAGCCUUUGAGGGGUAGUUAGGUUGUGAAGCUGCAUGCUUAUUGCAGGGGCUGGUGCAGUUCCCCUGAGAGUGUGGUCCUGUCCCAUUCUGUGUCUCCAGUGUGCCCGCCUGCAGUUCUCACAUGCACCCCUCCAUGUGAUGCCAUCUACAAGGUUAUAAACCAGCACAAGGCCCCAUCAGAUAUGCCUGCUUGAUCUUGAAGUUCCCUGCUCCAGAACCAUGAGCUAAAAAACCUCUGUUCUUUAUAAAUUACCCGGUGUCAGGUAUUACAUUAUAGUAACAGAAAGCAGACAUAAGACUGGCCAUCAGGAAUGUUAAAAUCAAUUUGCUUAACGUUGUAGCGUAACUGACGCCAUCUUGAGCCCUGCAUUUCACUAGUGUCCUGUAUUAACCCAGGAAAAUAGAAAAUUACUCAGGGUACAAGCCCAUGAGAAAAGCAAAAUGAGCUGUACCCACAGGAAAAAAAUUAACCUGCUCAACGAAGAAGCAGGAUACAGGUGUCAACCAAAGAUUAAUGUAAGAUUCUAGCUAAAUUGUUUCCAACAGGAUGUCUUUUUGUGGUUCUGUGUUUAAAAGCUUUGUAACUUUCCAGUGGGACUCAAACAGGUGUCUACAAGAAUGAUCUCUGAGCUCAGCUAAUUAAAUUCCAAAUUUAUCAAUUUGGCUGCUUGGAUUCCUAUGUUGUUAAUGAACUCACUUCACUUAAUAUAUGCAGAGCUGGCUUCUUCCACAGAGGAGCAGAGGAAGGGAAACCAAUUCCGCUUCCACAGGACAGCAUUCUCUUGCAUGUCCACAGACCAAAUUCCUUCGUAUUACAGUCAUUCAUCUGCAAUUUAGAGUUGUAGCAUAGCUCAAGGACAGUGACUAGCAGAAAGCAGCCUGAAGAGCACACUGUACAAGAGAUCCAGACUCCCCAUCUUUUUUAUUUUUAUUUUUUGCUUAUUUCACAAAGAUUCACAAUUUUUGUCACCACCUCAAAGAAGUCUUAAUAUUUCAAAAGAGAGUCCCUUUUUCUCUACCAUGGCCCCUGUUUCUUUUGACACCACUAGUUUCCAUCUGUGUCCUUUUUGUUGUUUACUUGACAAUUGCCUGUCAAUUUAUGCCUGUCCCUGCCCCAAACGUGAGGUCCAAGAGGGCAGAGAUUCUUGCCUGGCAUCUUCCUUUACUGUAUCGCCACCACCUGCCACAGUGCUUGGCAUAACUGACGCCAUCUUGAGCCUCAGAUGGCUCUCGACCUGCAGCACCCUGUUCCCGAGACCGGUAACACCCAUGGUUACAGUGAGCCUCCACUGCCACAUCAGCCACCCGUCUGUGGUCUCUGUGCGCCAGCCUCUCCUUUUGUCGCCUCCCUGUGUCAGGGGACCUGGAUUUCUCCUUGCCACGGGCGUCAUGUUGGAUGUUGUCAGUGGAGGGCACUGGGGGGGAACUGCAGGCGGAAGGGGCCUCUCCUGGUUCUGGCCUUUGUGCCUCUGUUUCUCUUUUAUGGGUCCUCCCUGCUGGGGAAUAGACACUCACAAACUCACUUGUGUGGAGUUUCCUGGUGUCCUUGCGGGUGGGCCCAGGGGUCCUUAGGCCACCCCGCCUCAGCCCAUUGCAUCCUGGGAAGCUGUUUCCCAUGGUCCUUCCCAGGCAUGGUUUCCCGCUCGCAGUUUUGGGCUGGUGACUGGACAGCCAGCUUUGUCAUUCCUUAAGGCCUGCGGGCACGUGUGCCCGGGUGAGGUCUGAGUCCCGCCCUUAGAGGAGAUCCCCGGCACUCCCCUUCCGCUGGGCUCUUCCUUAGGGCUCCCUCAGUCUUGAGGAGUCCUUUAGAGUCCUUCCAUCCGACGCAGUCCACAAGGAUGUACUUGUGGGCGGUCUUCUUGCGUGUUCCUAUCCUUUCCUCAACCGAGUACAUUUAGAAAGUUCAAAUAGUUACCCACGUGGUAAUCCGCUGUUGUGAAAUGUUAGCCAGUAUUUCACCACGAUGAGUUUUUUCUUUGUCCUGUGACCACCCUUGCGCAGGUCACUGGAUGCGAGUCCUGUCACCUCCACCAGGCUGCUGGAGUGCAGAGGUUUCCAUGGUUUCCUUCCAAAUUCAAGAGCCUUGGUGCAGAUGCAGAUCCGGAAAGAGCGGCUGCCUGCCGCCCUUCCCGCCAGCGCCCUGCACGACUCGUGUCAGCACGAAGAAGAGAGCUGACGUGUGUUAUCCAGAGGAAGAAGAUGGCCGCUCACCACCGAAUCUAGGGCAGCCGGGAGCAGCUUAGACUGAGCAAGGCGGAUCGUGGCAGCUCCCUCAGAGGCCAGUAGCCGGCGUCACGCUGACUCCUGCUACUUUGCCCUCUGUUUGGGCCAGCACUCGGGCCUAUUGGGUGCUACAGGGUAGAGAGGGCCUGGGCAGCCUGCCGAGCCCCCUGCAUGUUAAAAGAACAGCCGGACUUUUUUAAUUGUCCCCCCCUCUGAAGGCCUCAAGAGCUGGACAAGAAGUCCCACUAAACAAGGGUUAUGCAAAGGCAACAGUGGAACAUAGUGUCACAAGGGAUUGUGACCAGGGCCAGCCAGGACGUGUGCCCCGACAGAUGACCACAGCUGAGAACCAGGCAGGGCCGAAGCACAGUUGGCAGUGGAGGCUGUGGUCCCCCAGCAUCUCAGAACUCAGCCGCUACCCUGAAGAGCAGAGGACCGACAGGGCCUGGAAUGGACCGGUUUUCAGCCAGCAAGAAGUCUGGACCUGGAGACAGAAACCAAAAUUAGGACAGAAAAUGACAGUGGCUGCUUUUGGACUCUGAUUUGUGAACUGAAAUUUCUGUGCUUGCUGCAAACCCAGCCGAGUGUGAUGAAAACUUCACAGUGCUUGCACAAGCCCUCGGGCCUGUGACCCAGCCCUGCCCCUCCUCAGGACUCGCUGUGCCCGCAAGCCGGGAAUGCUCCUGCCUCAGCCGCUUUACCUGGGCCAUUUCAGGGCUUUCCCAAGAUGCUCUCGGGCUCCUCCAACCUUGCUGUGGGGCAUCUGCCCAGGGACGGCUUCCGAGAAGACUACCACCACCCUCCUCUGACCUCUUCUUAUGGGAUUAGGGCCUAACAUUGUAUUACACCUGUAUUCGGUCACAUGUGUCUCUCUGCUAGGCUCCCUCUGCCCCUCGAUACUUAUUAAGUAAUUCGGUGAAAUGUUUUUGUUCGUUUGUUUUGGUUUUUGGGACUGGAAAUCAAACUCAGAAUAAUUUAGUGAAAACUCCAAACAGUCUUAAUAGUACUUGAGAUCAUUUGAUCUUUAAUGUGUGCCAGGCACAGAACUAUUGUUAGGCAUUUUGCUAACGUUUAUCUCACAGGUAUUGUUUUAAUUUCUACAAUAUCUGUGUGAGCUAUAAAUUUAUUCCCAUUUUAUAUAUGAGAAAAAUGAGGCUCCUAGUAGUUAAGUUCUGUAACUUCUCAAAAUAAAAGAGUCAAGAAACAAAGCCAAGAUCUCCCAGCUCCACUAGGCUGCCUCCACCACCCGGGAUUUGGGGACCAUUCAGGAGCUGCAGAUUAAGGGUGUCCUGGAAGUGGGGGACGUGGACAGAUCCUGGCCCAGACAGUGCUGGAGGCUUUUUAGAGAAAGGUGUGCUACUUUACAGACAGGAAAAUUUUUAUGGGGACAAAGUAAAGGGUUCUGAAGAAACAGAGGCUGCUCCUGUGCUCGGGUCUGGCGCUUGGGCCUUAGGCAGGGAACCGGCCAGGCACUCUGGGCGGCAGAGUGUGGCCAGCAGUGCCUGGGGAAGGCCGUGUGGAGAGGCAGGUUUAGGAGGAGCCGCCUGUGUGUCACCCACAGCCCCAAAGCCUGGUAAGAGUGAGCUCCUCAAAGAAAAUGUCCAAACUUCUGGGAGAACAUGGCGAAUAGACAGCAGCAGCUAUGGAGGCUCUCUGAGAUUCCCCGCUUAAAAUCCAGGAAUGGUGUGGUACGAGGAGUCCUAAGCAAGGGGAGAUACACCCUGCCGACCGAGGAAUAAACUAAGCUAAGAGAAACCAACUGGAAAUCCAAUCCUGGUGCUAUAACAGGAACAGAUAAAAUCUCAGCGCGGAAGCUAGAACCUGCACCACUGGAAGCCGCGAUUAGAACUUCCUGCUGCCGCUGCUGCGGCCAAAUCUGCAGGGCAGGGAGAGAGAUGCCCCAAAGCUCUGAGAGUGGGAAUCUGUGAAUGGAGUUGAAAGCGGGACUAGCAGGGAGCCCUACACUGACUUGUGGUGAGUGAGCAGAACAGGGAUCCUUUCAUAGAGUAGGAGGCUCCAGCAAAGGACAUUCUGGGAGCAGGCAGGCUUGCCAGAACAGGACACUGCAGUGACUUUAGCUGCAUAUUCCCCUCUCAAGUGGGAUUGGAGGGGAGUGCCUGGCCUGCGUGAUGCUGCUAACUAAGACCCAGUGGGCUAGCCCAAACCAGGUCCCAGCGCCUGGAGGUGCACCCUAGUGGUGAAGCCUUUGGUAGGUUGACCUGGAGGGAUGGGCCCAGCAUAGGCUGCCAAGGUCUGUGUCUCCCUAGUACACUGCAGUGGGCGGGAACACCUAGCUGGCACAAUUCAAACAAACUGUAACCAACAAAGAGAAAAAAAUUGGGCCUCCUACAUUCACUUGUAUGGAAGGAACAAAAAGUGUGGGAAGAGGAAGCAACAAGAAAGGGUCCUCAAUCCCCAAUCCUGAGAACACUGAUCCAGGAAAGGGAAACACAAAGGAAGACAGAAAACAUGCAAUAUCAGACACGGCACCAAUAGACAUAAAGCGAUAUCUCCAGAGCCUCAUGGAAGAGUUUAAAAAUGAAGUAUUUAACGAAAUAAAGCAAGAUAUAAGUAGAAUAGUUAGAGAACUGCUAAGCAUUGCCCAAGAAAAAACAGAUGGUGGAAUGGAAGAACAAAAAAAAAGGGGAGAAUUGUUUGAUGGAGAAAGUAGAGAAAACAUAGAAUACAUGAAGUAGGUUCAAAGAGAUUACCAGGAAACUAAAAACUCUAUUGAAAGCUGGUAUAACAGCUUGAGAGAAACUAAGGAUAGAUUAUCUGAACUGGAGGGCAGAUUUGUAAUAUGGGAGCAUGAAAUGAAAAACUUCUUAAAAAUAACAAGAAAACAAACAGCAAUAAUACAAAGGCUAGAAGAUGAUAAGAAGAUCUAUAACUUAAGAAUUAAGAACAUAAAAGAAGAAGUAGGGACACAAACAAAUGGACUACAAAAGCUACUCGCAGAAAUAAUCCAGGAGAAUUUCCCUAAUUUAGCAAAAGGUAAAGAUACUCAGAUGUAUGAGGCAUACAGGACCCCAGCCACAUACAACCCAAACAUAGCUACACCCAGGCAUAUAAUAAUCAAAAUUCCAGAAAUCCAAUAUAAGAACAGAAUACUAAAAGCCAUCAGAGACAAGAAACAUCACUUACAAGGGAACACCCAUCAGAAUUACAGCAGACUUCUCGGCACAAACCAUCAAAUCACGAAGAACGUGGGGGGAAAUAAUUCAAGAUUUGAAAGAUAAUAACCUCCAGCCAAGAUUGAUAUAUCCUGCACAACUGUCCCUGGAAAUUGAUGGAAAAACAAGGUGCUUCCAGGAUAAAGAGGAACUGGGGGAAUUUGCAACCACCAAUUCAACUCUACAGAGAAUACUGCAGGAUAUUCUAAAAAAGGAAAAUACCAAGACUUCAGAAACAGUAGCAGAGAGGCCACAAUGAAUGGGGCAGAAAGCGAAAUGAAGAAGACAAACUGACAACAAACAACAGAAAAAGAGCUCAACAGAAAUGAGGCAGAGAAGAUUGGAUGGUAUGAGCAGCUAUUUUGGAGAAAACAAGACAUCAUAAUAGCUAGUGCUGAUUUAGUAUCAUCUUGCUUUGAAGUCCCAUCAAGCUUUUAUUCUUCUGUCUCCAUCGGUCUUAACAGGUUGUAUCUUAUUGGAUUUUAUUACAUGUGAUAAUAUAAGCAAAAACUUUUAUAUACAAGGAGAUUAUACAGAAACCAUUGUUCAUUUUCUGAUAGUUGGUUCUAAAUAUCCUGUAAUACUGUCAUUCCCUUGAAUGGUUUUACAUUGUCUUGAUAUGUGUGGUGCUAUAGUAUACGAAGUUAUACUCAAAGAUUUCAAGGAAAGAGACACUAUGGUAACCACUUUUAUGUCAGAAUAUCUUGUGGUGAAACACUAUUUUGCUUAAAUGGUUAUGCUUUGACCUGCGCUGUUUUGUUGUUAUGCCCUCUGUUAUCUCAGUCUCCUUUUUAAAAAUUAUUUACUUACUUUUUUUAUUGUUAUCUUUUUAAUUAAGGGAAAAAUAAAAAAAUAGCAGGAUACAUUAUAGUAACCCACUUUGAUUUCCUAUUAACUUGAUUUGAAACCCUGUAUAGCCCUCACCAUCUUGCUUUGACUGAUUUUCCUCUAUUCUACAUUGAUUGAUAGUACCAAGUUCGAAAGUAUAGGCAACAACUGUAAAGACAAUAAGAUUCAUUAUGACACCCAUUCUGGUUGACUAUUAUCUUCUUUUAAAGUCCUGUAAUGUCUCCAAUGUUUUGGUUUUAUUCUUUACUGUUUUGUUCAAUUUUAUUAUAACUGAUGAUAUAGCUAAUUCUUUUAAAGAUAGCAAGAGGCAGUAUGGUAACCAUUGUUGAUCACCUUGUAUUUUGUUUUUCAUUAUCUAUUAUGUCCAUCAUUUUGAUUUGACUGACUCUGUCCUGGUAUGUCACAUUUGGUUUUACUCUCUUCAAAAAAAAAGUAAUAAGAACUGUGGCAGUAAUAAAACCCAAAAUGUGUAAUUGUCAUUGUACAAAAGAAAGGAAAAGAAAGUGCCCUAAAGGAUAUAACUGCAUAUAUAUUUAAGUGUAUAAGAUAGAUAACCAUAUUACUGAGUUUUGUUGGAUCAUUGAACAGAACUGUUUGCAGUCUCACUGUUUGAAAGUCCACUUUAUAUGCUUUAAUUUUGUAACUUGAACAACUAUUUCUAAGAUAACAAUAUGUAAUCUAUUAACUAGUGAUUUCCUAUUGUUUAUUUUUUCUUAAAUUCUGUAUAACUUGUACCGCUUUUCCGUUUUUCUUUCUUUUUCUCCUUAAAUUAAAAAAAGAAAAGAAAACGUCCAAAUAGCAGGUGCUCGGAGCUCAGGGCAGAGGAGGAAAGAAUGACCCUUCUGUUCUUGAAGCUAGAUUUUUAAGUGAGAAUGGUUGGAGGGCAAAACCAAGAAGCAACGGAGAGAAGGCGAGAGAAAAACACCAGGAGAGCAGGCGGCCCAACCUGCCUUCAGACGCAGCAGAACCCGCCCGACAGCAAGCCCCAAGAUCCAAGCGGGCAGCUGCCGCUUCUGCCACCUGGAGGCCGGUGAAGGAAGUACACAAAACCCCCCAGGAAUCAGACAGAGCCUCAGAAAUACUUCUGCAAAGAUGUAGUUAAAACAAGGAUUAUUAAAACAUUCUUUAAAAAAAAGUUUAGUUGGAACAAACCAAUUAAAAUACAUACAGCCCUAUAACCACACACUAGAAAAAAUAAUCCUACGAAAAUACUAGCACUUAAAAAAAGAUCAGUUUAAGCCAGGCGUCCUGUCACUCUCCUACAAUCCCCAAACUCGGAAGGUUGAGGCAGGCGAAUCAGUGCAAGUUCGAGACCAGCCUGGGCUACAAAGUGAGCCCAAGACCAGCCAGAACCACAUAGCGAGACCCUGUUUCAAAAAACAAACAAAUAAAUAAAAGUAAAAAAGAUUAGUUCCCACUAAAGCAAAAAGAAUUUAAAUAUAAUGCUUUACUUUUAAAAAGCAAUGCUGGGUUAAUGCAAAUGCCAUGCCAUUCUACAUGGUAACAUAUUUCUUUAUAUCUUUCUUCAUUCAGCUGAGUGCAUUUAUCUUGCAACUCAGCUGCUAGAAUUCUUGGAACAAAGCAGAACAAACACUGACGUAUGGCACGGCAUGGAUACGCAUUACUGCAGCCUUUGCCUUCCCUGACAUCAUUCCAAUUAGCCAAUCAUGAGCUUUGCUCAGUGGCUGCGUCAUAGCCAGUGAGGUUUAUCUGAGGUGUAAUUAUGCUAAUUGAUCACUUUUCCCAAUUAGCUAAUCAUGGAUAAGCUAAUUUGCAUAUCAGAAAAUUUUACCGACCAAUCCUGAUAAGCUAAUUUGCAUGUUGGGAACAACACCUAUUGCAGUGGAAGAGCCUGUAAAUCACCUUCCUUGGCAGUACUAAGGAGAUCUCUUUUUUACUCCCCUUACAUUUUCUCCAGGGUUUGUGACACAAUUUCCCCUUCAGGAAAGCCUUCAUUAUUUUUUUUGUGGUACCAGAAAUCGAACUCAGGACCUUGUGCGUGCCAGGCAGGUGCUGUGCCACUGAGCUGUAUCCCCGGUCCAUCAUUCUUUAGCUGAUAUGAGUCUCAGGCCACAAAGCCAGAGGUGCCGAAACUUAUUUUCUAUGACUCAACUUCUUGAGCCAGGCCUGCAUUCUGCCAAGGUGGCAGGCGUUGGCCUCUGUCCCUCUGGGGCUGCCCUCCUGCUUCCUGGGGCCACAUGCAGGUGAGUGCAUUGUGCAGUACUUGCUUUUGGGCCCCUCUACAGAGACGGCCAGUGUGUGUGUCACAUGGUUCUUGCCGAGCUUUGUGAUGUCUAGUUUUGUAUCCAGACAUCGUCUGAUGACCAUUUGCAUUAAUUUGUUUUGCUGUCCAGGCCUCCCCCAAGCCGGGCCACGUCCCACUUCCCAAGUCCACCUCUCUGCUUCCCUGGGGACCUGCCAUCUCCUGGGGGCAACGACUUCAAGAAAUGCAUGGAAAUCUGUUCCUCAUCUAUUGCCAGGGCCAAGAUUUUAAUCUCUGAUAAUCUGAACCCCACUUUUGGCUUCUUCUGGCUUGCCAUCUUGUUGUCCCUCCUAGAGGUUAAGAAUCUUUUGGUUGUGAGCUACAAAAAUACAGCUCAAACUCACUAAAAAGAAAGUAUAUUGAUUCACAUGACUAAACAACCUAGGGCUUCUUUCAGGCAGGGAUUGAUCUGGCUAAUCAAAAAAAGCACUUUGCAAUGUGUUCCUGCAUCCCUGGGCCUGAGCUGAGCAGAUUCAGGGCUGAGCCUUGUGUCUUCUGGUGCCCAGUCCAGCUACCACAUGGAAUGAGACAAACUGUCCUCCAACACCUGCCCACGUUGCAUAUUCAUGAGCAACUAGGAAUGUCGCUAUCUUAAAUCACUCAGUUUUGCAAUGGUUUGUUAUACAGCAGUAGUUGGGGAUCACUGCUUGUGAGAAAUCCUCGUAUUAAUUGAUACAUGCAAAAAUAAUGCUAAUGGAACACUUUUAAAUUAAAAACAAAGGUAUCUUGAAAUUAAAUAAUAACAUCUGUUCUGCUCUGAACCCUGAAGCACCCUCCAUCCCCACCACCUCACCAAGUGGCUUCCAGAAAUGUAUGGCCAGUCGGAUGGAUUGGCCUUGGACUGGGAGGCAGGGAGGCUGGGGUUCCUCUCCACCUACCCUACUGUCUGCCACCACCGUUUCUGUGACAUCUUCUGUGGCAGUGGUUGAUACUAGAUAUUCUGCAGAGUUUAAGAGAUGGGACAGAUCACUGGGAGACGAGGAUUUUAUUAAGUGCACUUGACUCAGUUAGACUUCUGUCCAAAGGACUGAGCCUGAACAUGUGGCCAAGGGUUGGCCUGUUUAGUGAUGGGAAAGCAGGUGGGGUACAGACAAAGGGACUUAUUGGGGACAGGUUUGUAACUCAGCCUCGGAAGAAAAACAGAACCUUUGCAUCUUGUGGGGACCAUAUGUCCUAAGCCUGCAGGUUGCAGGUGCCACAGGGCAAUACAGGACUUUCUUCAGGACCAUAAUCAUCCUUCUCAUCAGGAACAGAGCAGAGUCAGCCUGCAGGAAACAGAUGGGGGGGGGACAGCACGCCACAGGACUCGUCACGGAGAUGCAGUUGUUAACCCUACCUGCAGCCUCUCGGAGGUAGGUGCUUUCAGGGAGGGGAGUUGGGCUUGGUUUUCCUCUGAGUUCUGCUUUGCCUCCAUGGGCUGGGAUGGCGGCGCUCAGGCUGCUGGCUGCUGCACAGAGCAGAUGGUGGCUCUGCCAAGGGCUUGCUGGCUUCCCUUGUUCCUGGCCUCCUACCCAAGCCCGGGGCGAUUUCUUCCUUUUACUGUCCUGGGUCCAGGAAGUGCACGCUUACCGUUGCGGUGACCUUCUGUCUCACUAGACUGUUGGGCUUCUUAGCUCCUCCAACUCCAGUUCCCUGUGUUAUUUUUAAUUUGCUCAAAAGGGGCCUGGGGAUUUAGCUCAGCGGCAUAAGUGCCUGCAUUGCAAGCAGGCAGUUGUAAGUUUGAUCCCUGGUAUGGAUAAAAAGGAAAAAGACAAAAAAAAAUUUUUGCUCAAAAGACUUACAGAGGUUCCUCUUUCCCGCUCACUCCUGAUAGGUUGGAUCACUAACUUUACUGUCCACCCAGUACUGCCCAGUAGGGAAUCCAUUUCCCGGAUAGGAGAAUUGAAACACGGGGGAGCAGUUCAUUCUCAGAACUACUGAUGUCUGCAGGCAACGGAACUGAACCAGAAAAUCUUUUUUGUUAAGUUGGAAUCCACAGACACCACUCUCAGGGGACUUGGGGGGCUGUCUGGGGUGCAGAGGCACUCACUACCGCACGUGUUCCCUUGUGUACACGCGUUGGGCUGUGUGGGGAGGACCUGGGCAGUUUUUUAUGUGUUGGUAUCGAGACUCAGAAAAUGAUACCCAGAAGUAUGGCACUGUGACAAACUGAGCACUUUGCAUGAAAGAAAAUGAGGGCUUAGAAGCCGCCCCAGAAAUAGGUCUGUCUGACUUUCCCGUACCCAAGCUUACCCAAGCACAGGGAGAGGCUUUUAUGUGAAGCUCUCUUAUCUGCCAAGACUAGAUCCACCUGAAAGGAACACAAUUGCUUUUCAUCCCAUCCUUGAUAGUUUUCACACAGAAAGAUUGAAAUCAUGUCACAGGAGGGAAGACUGAGAACUGUCACCACGCCUAGACUCUGGGACAAGCUGUUGCUACUUUCCAAAGAGAACUAUUUGCAAAGGAAGGCCUGUACUCCUUCACGUCGGGUACUGCCCCCUGAGCCUGCCUGCCCCCUGCCCUAACUUCCUUCCCCUGUGUAAACAGUGGUUAGACCUGAGCCACCUGCCCGUCCUGAGUCUCACGUUUCAUGUGGCUCCUAUGCCCAUGAACAGGUUAACAAACAUGUUCCCCUUUUCUCUUGUUACUUGGUUCUGUGUUGCAGCCAACUUAAGCCUUCAAAGGAAAAAUGUCAGCCUUAACCUAGACUUCAAUAAAACAUUCCCCUCCACAUUAGGAACUGGGGGCAGAGGCCUGAGCAUGUCUUGGGAGGACGGCCAUAUGCAAUAUAGCAAAUACGAGGAUUUCCUUCUAUCUUCUCUUUGAAGGCAAGGGUUGUUUUCAUUUUUUUGUUCUGUUAUGAUUGUUUUGCUGUAUUCAAUAUUCUCUUUCAAUUGAUUUUUUAAUGUUCUGUAUUUGGUUUGAUUUCUCUCUACCUAGUUGACUGGACAGCUAUUGUGAAGAUAACGAGAUAUACUGUGGUCCCUAUUGCUGUUACCCCGGUAACCUGCUGUGAAGUUCUGCACCAGUGUCAUUGCAUCGUCUCGAUUGGCUUUGUUCUGUCUUGUUCUGUUGUGUUUUUACUACCUUCAAAAUAAAAUAAAAACCGUUUACUCUC